AGUAACUUCUCCCCCAUCAAAGAGAUCCUCUAUAAAGAGGUCUGGACCUCAGCCCUGGAUGUCAUGCCUCUUCCAGACAUGUUCUUACUUGGGUGCUCUGCAACAGCCCUGUGGGUUAUGGUUACUCCAUAUACCUUCGAUUCCUGUAUUCUUUAGAAUAUGCUUAGUAUCUACUUUAAAUACUCCAAUUUGCUGUUCAGAUCAAUGGAUAAAUUCCUCUCCCCUGCUAGGAUUCUAAUAGAUGGAAGCACUACCAAAGAAAUAGGACAGGCUCUAUUCAUUGUUUAUUCUGGCUUAUUCAACCCAGAAGAAAGAAUAAUAUGUUAAUAAGCAACAUUACUAGAAUGCCGUGGAAAUCUAGAAUGGCAAUAUUGAAGAGCUGUAAAAAUUAAGAGAGAUAUCACAAACUUAAUCUGAAGAUGGAGAAUCUAAAAUCAGUUUAUACUCAGGGAUAUAGGUUCCUUGAUCCUGUGUAGUUAAAGGCAGAACUAAGAAGUAUGAUAAAAAGUCUAAUGUGAGUGAGAAGUCUUCUUUCAUCUUAUGGCUGUGCAAUCUGGAAUAUGAAGCCUCCAAGGUCACCACAGCAGAGAUGAGUCAAGCAAGACCUAGAAAAAUGAAGGUGGUACAUCAGGUUUUCACUUCCUCUGUGUAGAAAUUAUAUUCUUUACUCUUGCUCACAUUUCCUUGACACAACUAGUUAAAUGAUUCUUAUACAGAAACAUAGGAUAUUUGAUGAUUACUAAAGUUUAUUUCAUAGCUCUAAUAAUAAUAAACUUUCUAGAAAAGUUCAGCUCCA
ensembl:lncRNA novel transcript